rnacentral:rRNA from 1 species
UUACGUGCCAGCAGUCGCGGUAAUACGUAAGAGACUAGUGUUAUUCAUAAGAAUUAGGUUUAAAGGGUACUUAGACGGUUCUAAUGUCAGUAUAGAAGUAACCCUUAAUGGUACUUUAGAACUAGAGUUAGAUACAAGAGAACAGAACUUGCGGAGGAGAGAUCAUAUUCAUUGAUACCAAAGGGACUGGUAAUGGCGAAGGCAGUUCUCUAUGUAAUAACUGACGUUAAAGGACGAAGGCAUUGGUAACGAACAGGAUUAGAUACCCUAGUAGUCUUUGCAGUAAAUUAUGAGUGUCAUAUGUCAGAUGAAUAUACUUUUAGUUUGGGUUUCUGAAUAAAUUCAGAUAUCUACCUAUUAGUAAAUAUUUGGCUAAUAAAUAAAAGUGUAAGCACUCCACCUCAAGAGUAAUGUGGCAACGCAGGAACUGAAAUCACUAGACCGUUUCUGACACCAGCAGUGAAGUAUGUUGUUUAAUUCGAUGAUCCACGAAAAACCUUACCGCGGUUUGUAUAGCUAUAAUUAUUUUUUAAUAGUUGAAAAACUAAUUAAAUUAUUUUAUAGUUACAGGUAUUGCACGGCUGUUUUCAGUUAAUGUUGUGAAAACUGUGUAUUUUUUACAUGAAAUUAACGUAAUCCCUGACUUUAUUUAAUAGAUUUGCUA